UGCAAGUGAUGAUGAAAUUAAGGCUUGUUUAUCAAAAUAUUCGUAGUUGCCUCCUAAGAGCUUUGUCCCUGCCAGGCUUGAGACUAAUGCUGCUAGAUUUUUCCUUGGGUGUCUACUGCA